rnacentral:rRNA from 1 species
UACGUAGGUGGCAAGCGUUGUCCGGAUUUACUGGGCGUAAAGAGCGCGCAGGCGGUCGUUCAAGUCGAGUGUGAAAGCCCCCGGCUCAACUGGGGAGGGUCACUCGAUACUGAUCGACUCGAAGGCAGAGGAGGGAAGCGGAAUUCCCGGUGUAGUGGUGAAAUGCGUAGAUAUCGGGAGGAACACCAGUGGCGAAGGCGGCUUUCUGGUCUGCUCUUGACGCUGAGGCGCGAAAGCUAGGGUAGCAAACGGG